GUGGGGAAUAUUGGACAAUGGAGGCAACUCUGAUCCAGCCAUGCCGCGUGUGUGAAGAAGGCCUUUUGGUUGUAAAGCACUUUAAGCGAGGAGGAGGCUUACCUGGUUAAUACCUGGGAUAAGUGGACGUUACUCGCAGAAUAAGCACCGGCUAACUCUGUGCCAGCAGCCGCGGUAAUACAGAGGGUGCAAGCGUUAAUCGGAUUUACUGGGCGUAAAGCGCGCGUAGGUGGCUAAUUAAGUCAAAUGUGAAAUCCCCGAGCUUAACUUGGGAAUUGCAUUCGAUACUGGUUAGCUAGAGUAUGGGAGAGGAUGGUAGAAUUCCAGGUGUAGCGGUUAAAUGCGUAGAGAUCUGGAGGAAUACCGAUGGCGAAGGCAGCCAUCUGGCCUAAUACUGACACUGAGGUGCGAAAGCAUGGGGAGCAAACAGGAUUAGAAACCCCUGUAGUCC
rnacentral:rRNA from 1 species